rnacentral:rRNA from 1 species
UUGGGAGCUCUCCCAUAUGGUCGACCUGCAGGCGGCCGCGAAUUCACUAGUGAUUAGAGUUUGAUCAUGGCUCAGAUUGAACGCUGGCGGCAUGCUUUACACAUGCAAGUCGAACGGCAGCACGGGGGCAACCCUGGUGGCGAGUGGCGAACGGGUGAGUAAUAUAUCGGAACGUACCCAGGAGUGGGGGAUAACGUAGCGAAAGUUACGCUAAUACCGCAUACGACCUAAGGGUGAAAGUGGGGGAUCGCAAGACCUCAUGCUCAUGGAGCGGCCGAUAUCUGAUUAGCUAGUUGGUGGGGUAAAGGCUCACCGAGGCAACGAUCAGUAGCUGGUCUGAGAGGACGACCAGCCACACUGGAACUGAGACACGGUCCAGACUCCUACGGGAGGCAGCAGUGGGGAAUUUUGGACAAUGGGGGCAACCCUGAUCCAGCAAUGCCGCGUGAGUGAUGAAGGCCUUAGGGUUGUAAAGCUCUUUUGUCAGGGAAGAAACGGUGAGUUCUAAUACAACUUGCUAAUGACGGUACCUGAAGAAUAAGCCCCGGCUAACUACGUGCCAGCAGCCGCGGUAAUACGAAUCGAAUUCCCGCGGCCGCCAUGGCG